UUCCCCAGACGAGGAGUGGUGUGGGCCCAGGUACACGCCAGACACAAGCAGCAAGGUGUCGUCAGCGUUGAACUGAGAGAACUGGGUGUAGCCCCAGUUAAACUGCCGCAUGCUGGAGCUGUGCACCAUCGAAAUAUUACCGUCUGGCCGCUCCGUGUCCCAUAACUGCACACAAGAAGCCAGAGGACAGGUUUGAAAAGAAGCGAGUGGAUGAUAAAGAGGACAACAGCUGGUGGUCGUUAAACAUUUAGGGGAUCAAAGAAGAAGAAAUGCAUCAAGAAAGCUCAAAACUCCCCAACAUUCAUUAUUAUUGCAUCUAUAUGAGCUUCUGGCCCAAAGUUCACCUGUUGGAGCUUGCUUUGGCCCGACGUUUAUACUUUAGAGCCGGACUACAAGUUAACCAGGGACAUGAAAAAGUCUUUGGAGCAGGAGGAGAAGCGGUGACCCCGGUGAGAGAAAGCCAGGUGGAGGACUUGGUCAGUGUGCUCUACCAGCGUCUGAACCUCCACACAGGGGAUGCAGUCAAACAGACGCCUGA